CAUAUUUAAAUACUACUUGCGAUGCGGGUUUAGCAGCAAAGACAGUAUUGGAAUAUUUGCUUCAAUGCUGCACUUGCUGCUCUACCUGUAUGGUAACUUACACCCUUUUCUAUA
rnacentral:precursor_RNA from 10 species